rnacentral:sRNA from 1 species
UCCUACAUUCACAUCUUCAAUUGAUUUAAA